CUCAACACACCUUAACCAUUAUGAACGAUUAUCGACUACGUAUCACGGUCAUUAAUGGGAAUAAACAGCCCAUUAACUCCACGAUUAUGGCUCGAUAAUUUAGCACCAUAAAAAGUGGGACCACGUAUUCGACGGUUAUAUCAGAAUCAUAUAUAAAAGGAAGAUAAACGAACAGUACGGAUAAAGCAAUUCUGGGCUAAGACUC
rnacentral:lncRNA from 1 species